rnacentral:lncRNA from 1 species
CGUUUCUGUAAUGACUUUAGUCAUUGGAGAGAACGUUAUACCCCCGUAUCGUUAGAAGUGAAGCCAUGACUUUCAAUCGAAGGCAUACAUAUAUGAGUACCGUUAAUUUUACCAUAAAAAUCAAAAAGCUAGGCUACUGCACUAAAACAAUGAACAUGUGUUUAGAGUGGGUAUAGGCAACGACUCUAACCUAUCUGCCUAUUACAGUUCAAUUACCCGAUCAUUGACAGUAGGCUUUGUUUUGAUAGCGUAAAUUAGUAUUCAAUUUCAUUUCAAAUGCAGUCCUGCUUCAAUGGAUGAAUUUGACAGAAAACGAAAUGGUUUUAUUGCGUAAUUGUCAGGUAUGGGGGUUCUAUAGGCUAACGGGAAUGAUCAUCAAAACCAAAACAACUUUUAUUUUAUCGUCGGAUAAGCCAAAGGUGUACCAGGGCGUGCGGGUGAAGACAACGGUUAAACAGUUGCUGCAACAGAAAAGAGCUCUCCAGACAUCAACUAAAACGGUUAGAAUGAAAUCCCAAAGCUUGGUGAGUCAGGAUGUCUGCGUCUCCUCCUCCUUGUCAGGCCAUUACUUUGAUUAUUUCCCUGAAGAGAUGAAUUCCAACUGCAUCUUUCAGCCGCGGUCCAUUCCAGAGAGCAACGUCCAGAAGGACAGCUUCGAUAAUCAACACUUGAUAAGCAUGAUGAUCCCCAACGAGACCUACAGCAGUGGUAUUCUGCAUCCCGCUACCUCAACAACACUUUGGCGCCAGGAAAAUCACUCCCCGAAUAUGGGCUAUUACGGCCAUGGCAUGGCUCCCAGCUCACCAUCAGGUUCCCUGAAUAUGUCAAGUCCGGUCGAUUACAAUAGUUAUUCGCCACAGGAGUCUUACUCUUCGUCGUGUUACAACUCUCCGACGAGGCUGGACUUGAGUUAUGGGUUUGUUCCAGAGCACUACCACUACCAGAACUGCAACCUCCAGGAGAGCGUCUCCACUCCAGAAUACGCACCUUAUGGCACAUCAGACUAUGUAUACGCCUUGCCUGCGGAGGACAGCUACUUCAGGCGUGAUUUGUCAAAUUCAGAGAUGUGCUACCUUUGAAUAUUUAUUCGGUCUUUGUUGUCUGUGUAAAUACAGUAUAGUGUACAGUCAAAACAAUGUCUGUAACUCGAUGUCAAACGUUGACACUUGUGGCACUUGUUUUGAGAUGUAGGCCUGCUUUGCAUUUCAGAGUGUUUGCGGUCGAAGUUUCCUCCGAGUGUCUGUUUUUGAUAUGAUUGGAAUAAUGGUUUUAGAAUUCCCGAGAUUGGAUAAAUGUUGGAUAUGUGUGGGCUUAGUGCUAUCUUCUUAGUUAUUGACUUUGAUAUUUAAGCAAUAAGGCACGAGGGGGUGUGGUUUAUGGUCAAAAUACCACGGCCAAGGGCUGUUCUAAUCUCGAUGCAACGCGGAGUGCCUGGAUAUUGGCCAUAUACCACAAAUGCCCUAGGUGCCUUCAUGCUAUUAUGAACUGGUUACCAACAUAAUUAGAGCAGUAAAAAUAAAUGUUUUGUCAUACCAAUGGUAUAGGGUCUGAUAUACCACGGCUGUCAGCCAAGCAGCAUUCAGGGCUUGAACCAAGUUUAUAAAUAUAUAUAUACAAUUCUAAUGAUGUCAUCCUGCUUUUUUACAAGACAGUAUAUUUUUUCAGCAUAUUUUUUCUUAUGGAUGCAUUCAUUUUGUAAAUGAAUUGAAAAGCCUACCCAAAGGAAAUUAGCAGCAUCAUCCCCUUCAACUCACUAUUUAGUUUCCCUGUGCAGAUGCACACCGAUGCUUAGUUAGAAACAUUAACUUAAAUAGAUCAAUCAUUCAAAUAAAAGUGUCUAAUAAACCAAGAUAAAUUACAAUAGACAAACGGUAAUGAUCUAGAAUUUUUUAUAGUGCUUGUCAUUGCAAAAAUAAUCUCAAAACCCACUGACAAAAGAAGAAAAACAAAACAAUAAGGUUAACAUUGACCGCUCUUGAUGUGGAAAAAUGAUCUUCCAUGGAGGCAGACGCAAGUGCACGUCGCAUCAGGUCACAUCCAACUCAAGAGACGCCUGUCUCCACUCUACCCUCCUUGCACACCAUCCUCUGCCUCGGGAUCCAAGUCUCCUCCGAGGCCGAGAUAAAGCGGGGUUGAGCAGGGAUAGAAGUAGGCCUGCCUGUCCAAAAUGAUCAUAUUGUUACAUAUUACCAAAAACACGCACCAAUAAAAGAUAACUACUUGGAUAA